GAUGAACGCUAGCGAUAGGCUUAACACAUGCAAGUCGAGGGGUAACGUGUUGGCAGCUUGCUUCCGAUGACGACGACCGGCGGAUGGGUGCGUAACGCGUAUGCAACUUGCCUCACAGUGGAGAAUAACCCGGAGAAAUCCGGACUAAUACUCCAUACACUCUUAAGUACGCCUGUACAUGAGAGGAAAGAUUUAUCGCUGUGAGAUAGGCAUGCGUCCUAUUAGGUAGUUGGUGAGGUAACGGCUCACCAAGCCGACGAUAGGUAGGGGUGCUGAGAGGCAGAUCCCCCACAUUGGGACUGAGACACGGCCCAAACUCCUACGGGAGGCAGCAGUGAGGAAUAUUGGUCAAUGGAGGAAACUCUGAACCAGCCAAGUCGCGUGAAGGAAGAAUGUCCUAAGGAUUGUAAACUUCUUUAGCGAGCGAGUAAGGACUUCCACGUGAUGGGAGUUUGAAAGUAGCUCGAGAAUAAGUAUCGGCUAACUCCGUG
rnacentral:rRNA from 1 species